UGAACUUAAAUAUAGCCUUAUUUAAGUCAAUUUUUACCUCAGUCCCAAACAAGUUGGGGUAAAUCAAAGUAAAAUAUAUAUUAUCAGUCAUGUUUCCUUUACUAUAAGGUUUUCUGAUAUUUGGUUAUAACACAACAAUGCCUGCUGCUCCUUCCUUGGUCCCAGAAGUCCUCCCAGUUCCCGAAUUCUUUGAUGGAUUGGCUUAAUUCAGGGGUUCAAUAGCAGUCAGGUUCACGAAGAAAAAAUGUCUCACGGUUCUGGAUAUCUACUAUGAUAUGGUGCUCAGACUUACAGCAGUCCACACAAUCGAGGUCUUGAGCAGAUUUGCCUUCCAUUUGAUUUGACUAAUGCCAUAAUUCCAGCAGUUACACCAGCGCACAGUGCAGAGGACAAAAUGGUAUUUGUAUUUCGUCCUUGGUGAAUCGUGAUGGUGGUCACGGUCAAUCCACCAAUUAAAAGUGCUGAUGCUACUGGUAGAUAACUGAGUGAGUCGAAUCCAUUAUUCUGGAACGGAGAGGGGCUGUCCCUGUUAACACUGUAGCGACCACUUAUAAGGUCCGUCG
rnacentral:misc_RNA from 1 species